CGUACACAUGCAAGUCGAGCGGAAACGAUCCCAGCUUGCUGGGAGGCGUCGAGCGGCGGACGGGUGAGUAAUGCAUAGGAAUCUGCCCGAUAGUGGGGGAUAACCUGAGGAAACUCAGGCUAAUACCGCAUACGUCCUACGGGAGAAAGCAGGGGCUCUUCGGACCUUGCGCUAUCGGAUGAGCUUAUGUCGGAUUAGCUGGUUGGUGAGGUAACGGCUCACCAAGGCGACGAUCCGUAGCUGGUCUGAGAGGAUGAUCAGCCACAUCGGGACUGAGACACGGCCCGAACUCCUACGGGAGGCAGCAGUGGGGAAUAUUGGACAAUGGGCGCAAGCCUGAUCCAGCCAUGCCGCGUGUGUGAAGAAGGCCCUCGGGUUGUAAAGCACUUUCAGUGAGGAAGAAAGCUUGUCGGUUAAUACCCGGCAAGGACGACAUCACUCACAGAAGAAGCACCGGCUAACUCCGUGCCAGCAGCCGCGGUAAUACGGAGGGUGCGAGCGUUAAUCGGAAUUACUGGGCGUAAAGCGUGCGUAGGCGGCUUGGUAAGCCGGUUGUGAAAGCCCCGGGCUCAACCUGGGAACGGCAUCCGGAACUGUCAGGCUAGAGUGCAGGAGAGGAAGGUAGAAUUCCCGGUGUAGCGGUGAAAUGCGUAGAGAUCG
rnacentral:rRNA from 1 species